rnacentral:rRNA from 1 species
CCCUUAGAUGUUCUGGGCCGCACGCGCGCUACACUGACUGGUGCAACAAGUGUCGCUCCUUGGCCGAUAGGCCUGGGCAAUCUUUGAACGCCAGUCGUGAUGGGGAUAGAUUCUUGCAAUUUUUGAUCUUCAACGAGGAAUUCCUAGUAAACGCGAGUCAUCAACUCGCAUUGAUUACGUCCCUGCCCUUUGUACACACCGCCCGUCGCACCUACCGAUUGAAUGGUCCGGUGAACCCUCCGGAUCGGCUCGCGCCAACGCAAGUUGAGCAAAGACCGAGAAGUUGGGUAAACCUUACCAUUUAGAGGAAGGUGAAGUCGUAACA